GUUUCUCAAAUUAGUAUUCUGUUUCUUUGCUAUUUGGAAACUUAUGGAUUAUUAAUUUCUUAGCACCUCACUAUAUCCUUCCCGGUGCUGCAGCUGGGGCAUAAUUUCUUGCUUUACUGCAAUUCUAAACAUGGAGUUAUUGAAUGGAAAAUUUUUAUGAUGCUUUGGGGGGUGGCUAGGGGUGUGGGUAGAGUUCUUAGGUUCAUGCCAUAACAUUCUGCUCUUGCAUUUUGAGGGAAAGAAAGAAAGAAAGAGAUAAAGAAAGAAAGUACCUUGGAUAUAGAAUCUGGUUUAGAGGAGGAUUCUACUAAUCUUUGAUUUUCUAAUUUGAAGCUUUCCCAUAAAUUAUUAUAUGCUAUUGAUACUACUCCACAAAGGGGAGAAAGUAGAGAUUCUGGAAGUUCCUUGUACGAGAAGGAAAUCAUUGACGGAGCUGGUUAACUCCAUGGAAGAUUGAUUUUUGAAGUUUGGAUUUACUUGUUUUUUUAUUAAGGGAUAAUUACAUAUGCAGUCCAAAAAUUUUUUUUAUUUCUUACAAUUAAGUCUUCAAUUCUUUUUUAAGACUUUAACUCAAAAAAAUGUGUAUAUGUAAAAGGUUGGCG
rnacentral:misc_RNA from 1 species